AGCGAACGCUGGCGGCAGGCCUAACACAUGCAAGUCGAACGAACCCUUCGGGGUUAGUGGCGGACGGGUGAGUAACACGUGGGAACGUGCCUUUAGGUUCGGAAUAACUCAGGGAAACUUGUGCUAAUAACGAAUGUGCCCUUCGGGGGAAAGAUUUAUCGCAUUUAGAGCGGCCCGCGUCUGAUUAGCUAGUUGGUGGGGUAAUGGCUCACCAAGGCUACGAUCAGUAGCUGGUCUGAGAGGAUGACCAGCCACAUUGGGACUGAGACACGGCCCAAACUCCUACGGGAGGCAGCAGUGGGGAAUCUUGCGCAAUGGGCGAAAGCCUGACGCAGCCAUGCCGCGUGGAUGAUGAAGGUCUUAGGAUUGUAAAAUCCUUACACCGGUGAAGAUAAUGACUGUAGCCGGAGAAGAAGCCCCGGCUAACUUCGUGCCAGCAGCCGCCGUAACAC
rnacentral:rRNA from 1 species